CCUACGGUGGGCUGCAGUGAGGAAUAUUGGUCAAUGGACGAGAGUCUGAACCAGCCAAGUAGCGUGAAGGAUGACUGCCCUAUGGGUUGUAAACUUCUUUUAUAUGGGAAUAAAAUGUUCCACGUGUGGGAUUUUGUAUGUACCAUAUGACUAAGGAUCGGCUAACUCCGUGCCAGCAGCCGCGGUAAUACGGAGGAUCCGAGCGUUUUCCGGAUUUAUUGGGUUUAAAGGGAGCGUCGGUGGAUUGUUAACUAAGUUGUGAAAGUUUGCGGCUCAACCGUAAAAUUGCAGUUGAAACUGGCAGUCGUGAGUACAGUAGAGGUGGGCGGAAUUCGUCGUGUAGCGGUGAAAUGCUGAGAGAUGACGAAGAACCCCGAUUGCGAAGUCAGCUUGCUGCAGCGGAACUGACGCUGAUGCUCGAAAGCGCGGGUAUCGAACAGGAUUAGAUACCCGAGUAGUC
rnacentral:rRNA from 1 species